CAAAUGCAAAGAAGACUUAGUAAUACCCAAAGCAUUAUGGUUAUAUGAAAUUCACAGCUAUACCACUGUACUUCAGUUUUUAUUACAACUGAUGGAGUAGAGCUAAUAAGUGAUUUUACUUUUUGUUUGUUUAUUUUGUUUUGUUUUUUUCAGACAGAGUCUCACUGUGUCACCUAGGCUGGAGUGCAGUGGUGCAAUCUCAGGUCACUGCAACCUCCGCCUUCUGGGUUUAGGCAAUUCCCCUCCCUUAGUCUCCCAAAUAGCUGGGAGUACAGGCACUUGUCACCAUGCCCGACUAAUUUUUGUGUUUUUAGUAGAGAUGUGGUUUCACCAUAGUGGCCAGGCUGGUCUUGAACUCCUGACCUUGUGAUCCACCCGACUUGGCCUCCCAAAGUGCUGGGAUUACAGGCAUGAGCUUCCAUGCCCAGCCUUACCUUUUAACAUUUACAGUUAAAGAUGAUGAAGACAGUGAAGUUUCAGUGCAUUUCAGUGGGUUAUAAACAUUUCAGGUAUAUAUUCUGCAGUUCAG
rnacentral:lncRNA from 10 species